rnacentral:rRNA from 1 species
UUCGGGUCGCCGGCGAGUGGCAAACGGGUGAGUAACGCGUGGAUACCUGUCCUGUGGUGGGGAAUAACGUUUAGAAAUGAACGCUAAUACCGCAUAAGCCCUGCGGGGGAAAGAUUUAUCGCCAUAGGAGGGGUCCGCGUCGGAUUAGCUAGUUGGUGGGGUAACGGCCUACCAAGGCGACGAUCCGUAGCUGGUCUGAGAGGAUGAUCAGCCACACUGGGACUGAGACACGGCCCAGACUCCUACGGGAGGCAGCAGUGGGGAAUAUUGCGCAAUGGAGGAAACUCUGACGCAGCGACGCCGCGUGGGUGAAGAAGGCCUUAGGGUUGUAAAGCCCUUUCAGUGGGAAAGAUGAUGACGGUACCCACAGAAGAAGCCCCGGCUAACUCCGUGCCAGCAGCCGCGGUAAUACGGAGGGGGCCAGCGUUGUUCGGAACUACUGGGCGUAAAGGGCGCGUAGGCGGUUGAUCAAG